AUUGAACGCUGGCGGCAGGCCUAACACAUGCGAGUCGAGCGGAUGAAGGGAGCUUGCUCCUGGAUUCAGCGGCGGACGGGGGAGUAAUGCCUAGGAAUCUGCCUGGUAGUGGGGGAUAACGUCCGGAAACGGGCGCUAAUACCGCAUACGUCCUGAGGGAGAAAGUGGGGGAUCUUCGGACCGCACGCUAUCAGAUGAGCCUAGGUCGGAUUAGCUAGUUGGUGGGGUAAAGGCCUACCAAGGCGACGAUCCGUAACUGGUCUGAGAGGAUGAUCAGUCACACUGGAACUGAGACACGGUCCAGACUCCUACGGGAGGCAGCAGUGGGGAAUAUUGGACAAUGGGCGAAAGCCUGAUCCAGCCAUGCCGCGUGUGUGAAGAAGGUCUUCGGAUUGUAAAGCACUUUAAGUUGGGAGGAAGGGCAGUAAGUUAAUCCCUUGCUGUUUUGACGUUACCAACAGAAUAAGCACCGGCUAACUUCGUG
rnacentral:rRNA from 1 species